GGAAAUAUGCCUGAAUAAAGGGCCACUUUGAUAGGGUGGAUUAUGAGAAUUAAAAAGCUCUAUUUCCU
rnacentral:tRNA from 1 species